rnacentral:rRNA from 1 species
GACGUAGGGCGCAAGCGUUGUCCGGAUUUAUUGGGCGUAAAGAGCUCGUAGGCGGCUUGUUGCGUCGUCCGUGAAAACCCGCAGCUCAACUGCGGGCUUGCGGACGAUACGGGCAGGCUGGAGUUCGGUAGGGGAGACUGGAAUUCCUGGUGUAGCGGUGAAAUGCGCAGAUAUCAGGAGGAACACCGGUGGCGAAGGCGGGUCUCUGGGCCGAUGACUGACGCUGAGGAGCGAAAGCGUGGGGAGCGAACAGG